AACGAACGCUGGCGGCAUGCCUAACACAUGCAAGUCGAACGAGACCUUCGGGUCUAGUGGCGCACGGGUGCGUAACGCGUGGGAACCUGCCCUUAGGUUCGGAAUAACUCCCCGAAAGGGGUGCUAAUACCGGAUAAUGUCUUCGGACCAAAGAUUUAUCGCCUUUGGAUGGGCCCGCGUUGGAUUAGCUAGUUGGUAGGGUAAAAGCCUACCAAGGCGACGAUCCAUAGCUGGUCUGAGAGGAUGAUCAGCCACACUGGGACUGAGACACGGCCCAGACUCCUACGGAAGGCAGCAGUGGGGAAUAUUGAACAAUGGGCGAAAGCCUGAUCCAGCAAUGCCGCGUGAGUGAUGAAGGCCUUAGGGUUGUAAAGCUCUUUUACCCGGGAUGAUAAUGACAGUACCGGAGAAUAAGCUCCGGCUAACUCCGUG
rnacentral:rRNA from 1 species